rnacentral:rRNA from 1 species
GACGAACGCUGGCGGCGUGCUUAACACAUGCAAGUCGAACGGAAAGGCCCUGCUUUUGUGGGGUGCUCGAGUGGCGAACGGGUGAGUAACACGAGAAUAACCUGCCCUUGACUUUGGGAUAACUUCAGGAAACUGGGGCUAAUACCAGACAGGAGCUCCUGCCGCAUGGUGGGGGUUGGAAAGUUUCGGCGGUUGGGGAUGGACUCGCGGCCUAUCAGCUUGUUGGUGGGGUAGUGGCUUACCAAGGCUUUGACGGGUAGCCGGCCUGAGAGGGUGACCGGCCACAUUGGGACUGAGAUACGGCCCAGACUCCUACGGGAGGCAGCAGUGGGGAAUAUUGCACAAUGGGCGGAAGCCUGAUGCAGCAACGCCGCGUGCGGGAUGACGGCCUUCGGGUUGUAAACCGCUUUCGCCUGUGACGAAGCGUGAGUGACGGUAAUGGGUAAAGAAGCACCGGCUAACUACGUG